AUUGAACGCUGGCGGCACGCUUUACACAUGCAAGUCGAACGGUAACAGGCCGCAAGGUGCUGACGAGUGGCGAACGGGUGAGUAAUGCAUCGGAACGUGCCCAGUCGUGGGGGAUAACGCAGCGAAAGCUGCGCUAAUACCGCAUACGAUCUAUGGAUGAAGGCGGGGGACCGUAAGGCCUCGCGCGAUUGGGGCGGCCGAUGUCAGAUUAGGUAUUUGGUGGGGUAAAGGCUCACCAAGCCCACGAUCUGUAGCUGGUCUGAGAGGACGACCAGCCAAAAUGGGACUGAGACACGGCCCAGACUCAGACGGGAGGAAGCAGUGGGGAAUUUUGGACAAUGGGCGCAAGCCUGAUCCAGCAAUGCCGCGUGCAGGAAGAAGGCCUUCGGGUUGUAAACUGCUUUUGUACGGAGCGAAGAGGCUCUCUCUAAUACAGGGGGCUCAUGACGGUACCGUAAGAAUAAGCACCGGCUAACUACGUGCCAGCCGCCGCCGUAAUAC
rnacentral:rRNA from 1 species